rnacentral:lncRNA from 1 species
CUGGAGCCCUGGAGCCCACGGCCGGGGCCGCGGGCGGGGCCCGGGACUGCGGUGCUGCGCCCGAGCACGUACUGAGGCGUGGCCUGCCGCGCGCCGGGCGGGGCUCGGGAAGUUUCUCGGGUUGGCUUGGGUUUCGCAUCCUCAUCAUGUAGCGCCAGCCACACCAGGAACAGAAGGGUGCCGGGUACCUUCCGCAUGCUUGGUAUUCUCCCCGCGGGGCUCUGACCGCUGCCGCUCUCAGGCACCUGUCUUUCCUCUCCGUCCCAGAAUGGAGCCAAGACAAGGGAAUAAACGAAAUUCAAUAGUACACGGAGAUCGGGUGUCUGGGCAGCGUCUUGGAAAAACUAUCCACUACAGUACAGGUCAAGUGAAGUUCUUCUGCUGAUAUGUUCUGCUACUGCAUAAGAGACGGAAUCUAUGUUGCCUCGACUGGUCCUGAACUCCUGGGCUAAAGCGAUCCUUCUGCCUUGGCCUCCCAAAGUGCGAGGAUUAUAGGUCAAUCAACAACACAGAAGACAACUUCUGCAACCCUAUCGGGAGAGGAGGGGUUCUCUCCACCACCAGAUUAUUCCUGACUAGUGAUAUAAAUAAAAUCUUUCCUGGUCCAGAAUUGGUGUUGAGCCUCUCAACAAAUCUUUGAGCCCUGAUUAUAUAUAAGGUAUUGUGCCAGGUGCAGUGGCUCACGCCUGUAAUCCCAGCACUUUGGGAGGCUGAGGUGGGCGGAUCACCUGAGGUCGGGAGUUCGAGACCAGCCUGACCAACAUGGAGAAACCCCGUCUCUACUAAAAAUACAAAAUUAGCUAGGCAUGUUGCCACGUGCCUGUAACCCCAGCUACUCGGGAGGCUGAGGCAGGAGAAUCAACUGAACCUGGGAGAUGGAGGUUGUGGUGAGCUGAGAUUACACCAUUGCACUCCAGCCUGGGCAACAAGAGCAAAACUCCAUUUCAAAAAAAAGAAGUAUUGUGCUAGAUAAAUAAAACAACAAAAAUGUGUAUGUAAAGUUUUUACUCUAAGAUGAAGGUUCUCAAACGUCAGUUUUCAUCACAGUCCCCUGGAAGAAUUCUCAAAACACAGAAUGCUUGCCAAGUCAAUCCUAAGCCAAAAGAACAAAGCUGGAGGCAUCACACUACCUGACUUCAAACUAUACUACAAGGAUGCAGUAACCAAAACAGCAUGGUACUGGUACCAAAACAGAGAUAUAGACCAAUGGAACAGAACAGAGCCCUCAGAAAUAAUGCCGCUUAUCUACAACCAUCUGAUCUUUGACAAACCUGACAAAAACAAGAAAUGGGGAAAGGAUUCCCUAUUUAAUAAAUGGUGCUGGGAAAACUGGCUAGCCAUAUGCAGAAAGCUGAAACUGGAUCCCUUCCUUACACCUUAUGCUAAAAUUAAUUCAAGAUGGAUUAAAGACUUAAAUGUUAGACCUAAAACCAUAAAAACCGUAGAAUAAAACCUAGGCAAUACCAUUCAGGACAUAGGCAUGGGCAAGGACUUCAUGUUUAAAACACCAAAAGCCAUGGCAACAGAAGCCAAAAUUGACAAAUAGGAUCUAAUUAAACUAAAGAGCUUCUGCACAGCAAAAGAAACUACCAUCAGAGUGAACAGGCAACCUACAGAAUGGGAGAAAAUUUUUGCAAUCUACUCAUCUGACAAAGGGCUAGUAUCCAGAAUCUACAAUGAACUCAAACAAAUUUACAAGAAAAAAACAACCCCAUCAAAAAGUGGGCAAACGAUAUGAACAGACACUUCUCAAAAGACGACAUUUAUGCUGCCAAAAGACACAUGAAAAAAUGCUCAUCAUCACUGGCCAUCAGAGAAAUGCAAAUCAAAACCACAAUGAGAUACCAUCUCACACCAGUUAGAAUGGCGAUCAUUAAAAAGUCAGGAAACAACAGGUGCUGGAGAGGAUGUGGAGAAACAGGAACACUUUUACACUGUUAGUGGGACUGUAAACUAGUUCAACCAUUGUGGAAGUCAGUGUGGCGAUUCCUCAGGGAUCUAGAACUAGAAAUACCAUUUGACCCAGCCAUCCCAUUACUGGGUAUAUACCCAAAGGAUUAUAAAUCAUGCUGCUAUAAAGACACAUGCACACGUAUGUUUAUUGUGGCACUAUUCACAAUAGCAAAGACUUGGAACCAACCCAAAUGUCCAAUAAUGAUAGACUGGAUUAAGAAAAUGUGGCACAUAUACACCAUGGAAUACUAUUCAGCCAUAAAAAAGGAUGAGUUCAUGUCCUUUGUAGGGACAUGGAUGAAGCCGGAAACCAUCAUUCUCAGCAAACUAUCGCAAGGACAAAAAACCAAACACCGCGUGUUCUCACUCAUAGGUAGGAACUGAACAAUGAGAACACAUGGACACAGGAAGGGGAACAUCACACGCCGGGGCCUGUUGUGGGGUGGGGGGAGCGGGGAGGGAUAGCAUUAGGAGAUAUACCUAAUGUUAAAUGACGAGUUACUGGGUGCAGCACACCAACAUGGCACAUGUAUACAUAUGUAACUAACCUGCACGUUGUGCACAUGUACCCUAAAACUUAAAGUAUAAUAAAGAAAAAAAAAACACAGAAUGCUG